rnacentral:rRNA from 1 species
UACGAGGGGGGCAAGCGUUGUUCGGAUUCAUUGGGCGUAAAGCGUGCGCAGGCGGUUUUGUAAGUCUGACGUGAAAGCCCCGGGCUUAACCUGGGAACUGCAUUUGUGACUGCAUGGCUAGAGUGUGUCAGAGGGGGGUAGAAUUCCACGUGUAGCAGUGAAAUGCGUAGAUAUGUGGAGGAAUACCGAUGGCGAAGGCAGCCCCCUGGGAUAACACUGACGCUCAUGCACGAAAGCGUGGGGAGCAAACAGGG